GGAGCUUACCAUGCAGUCGAGCGGUAACAGGGGGUGCUUGCACCCCGCUGACGAGCGGCGGACGGGUGAGUAAUGCAUAGGAAUCUGCCCAGUAGUGGGGGAUAGCCCGGGGAAACCCGGAUUAAUACCGCAUACGCCCUUUGGGGGAAAGCAGGGGAUCUUCGGACCUUGCGCUAUUGGAUGAGCCUAUGUCGGAUUAGCUAGUUGGUGGGGUAAAGGCCUACCAAGGCGACGAUCCGUAGCUGGUCUGAGAGGAUGAUCAGCCACAUCGGGACUGAGACACGGCCCGAACUCCUACGGGAGGCAGCAGUGGGGAAUAUUGGACAAUGGGGGCAACCCUGAUCCAGCCAUGCCGCGUGUGUGAAGAAGGCUUUCGGGUUGUAAAGCACUUUCAGUGAGGAGGAAAACCUUCUGGUUAAUACCCAUGAGGCUUGACGUUACUCACAGAAGAAGCACCGGCUAACUCCGUGCCAGCAGCCGCGGUAAUACGGAGGGUGCAAGCGUUAAUCGGAAUUACUGGGCGUAAAGCGCGCGUAGGUGGUUUGAUAAGCGAGAUGUGAAAGCCCCGGGCUUAACCUGGGAACGGCAUUUCGAACUGUCAGGCUAGAGU
rnacentral:rRNA from 1 species